CCGAAAUCAUAUUUAUCAGGAUCAGGCAAAAAUUUUCAUGUGACCAAAUGAGAAAAACCAUCCUUUGGUAUGGAAUGUUGUAUCUGUGAUAUUCAGAGGGUUAAAGUUACUGAAUAGUAAUUGAAAUACUUUUCAAUGUGGAAAAAUCAAAAGACAUAUACAUUUUACAUAGGUCAAGAAAGCUUAAUAAAAGCGAAAAUUGGGGCCUCAGUUCUGGCCUGAACCAAAGCGUCUGUUGGUUUUCAUCAAGCCUUUCUUUUUAGGAAGGUCCUAGACGAUAACCUGCUGGACAGAUGCAGCUAUAACUUCCUUGAGUAUUUUCACAUAGAUGUUGACACUUUCCUUUAUCUUCACAUUCAUCAAUAUCUUAACAUUGAAAAUAUGUAAAAUGUUAAUUAAGUAGUUCAGCUUAUAUUCAUUUGUUGUAAAGUUCCCCCCUUCCAAUAAAGAUGAAUAAUUUACUUUUUCCAUGGGGUGAGAAGGUAUUUCAAGAAGUAAAUAUACUAAAAAUUAGAAAUUACAAUAACUUUAGUUGUUAGCUUAUUAGAUACCAUGAAGCAUUUCUUAUUCACAUCCAUUCAUUCAACCAACUAUUUAUCUGUGUGUGCAAAUAUAUAUAUAUAUAUUGAUGUGGAUGCAAACUCUCAUCUGCUUCAUUAUCUAAAACCAUUAAAUUGAAAUCAAGAUCUUGAUUGGACAAUUAUAAUGGAUAGCUUAAAUAUACUGCAGUGGUACUUCAUAAAAGUGCUUCAAGAAAAUCAGUUUAACCUUUUUACAUGAAUAGUUUCAUACAUCCAUAUCAUAUUCUGAUAAAAGCAUGAAAAAUUAAAAUCAAAUGUAUAAUUUAGUGUAUAUAAUUUGAAAAUUAUGUACGUUUUAUAUCUUCGGAAAACAGUUAUUCUUUCUUUAGCAGUUCUAAAAUAUGGUACACUUGUCUUACUUACUUUGCACUAUUAGUACACUUAUCUUAUUUAUGUGUCUUAUUACUCGUCUUUAAGCAACCUAUUCUAUCCCUAAAACAUUAAUCAUUAAUUAAGAAUUUUAAAAAUUUGAUUUGUUAACAAGUACUCAAUCAAUAUACACAUAAAAUUCCAUACCCAUAUAAAACUGAAAGCAUCUAAAAUAACAUAGCCACUACCAUAUUACCUUAUUUGUUACAUAAUUUUAGAGUCAAAAUAGCUUAUGCCACACAAUGUUAUUUCACUGAGCACACAUGUAAAUAGAAAGUUACCUAUUACUAUGUAGCAAAUGUAUUAAAACUGAAAUUUUAA
rnacentral:misc_RNA from 1 species